rnacentral:rRNA from 1 species
GACGAACGCUGGCGGCGUGCUUAACACAUGCAAGUCGAACGCUGAAGCUCAGCUUUUGUUGGGUGGAUGAGUGGCGAACGGGUGAGUAACACGUGAGUAACCUGCCCCCUUCUUUGGGAUAACGCCCGGAAACGGGUGCUAAUACUGGAUAUUCACUGGUCUUCGCAUGGGGGUUGGUGGAAAGGGUUUUUCUGGUGGGGGAUGGGCUCGCGGCCUAUCAGCUUGUUGGUGGGGUGAUGGCCUACCAAGGCUUUGACGGGUAGCCGGCCUGAGAGGGUGACCGGUAACAUUGGGACUGAGAUACGGCCCAGACUACUACGGGAGGCAGCAGUGGGGAAUAUUGCACAAUGGGCGCAAGCGUGAUGCAGCGACGCCGCGUGAGGGAUGGAGGCCUUCGGGUUGUGAACCUCUUUCGCUCAUGGUCAAGCCGCAACAAUGGUUGUGGUGAGGGUAGUGAGUAAAGAAGCGCCGGCUAACUACGUG